rnacentral:lncRNA from 1 species
AAAUUGACCCUUGAUCUUGGUGGUCAGUUUCUAUGGGUUGAUUGUGAAAAAGAAUAUGUAUCAUCUUCCUAUACAUUUGCCCCUUGCCAUUCAGCUCCAUGCUCUCUCGCUAAUGCACCUUAUUGUUUUGAAUGCCAUGGUAUUAAACCCAGGCCAGGUUGCCACAAUAAUACUUGCAAUCUCCUGCCUGAAAACACCAUAAACGGCAUUAGCUUUUUCGGUGGGGUGUCCAUGGAUGUCGCGUCCAUCCAAUCCACUGAUGGCAAGAAUCCGGGUAAAGUCGUUUCAGUGCCUAAGCUUCUCUUUGUCUGUUCUGACUCAUUUCUUUUAACAGAUCUUGCAAAGGGUGUUACGGGUAUGGCUGGCCUUGGAAGAACUAAAAUUUCACUUCCAUCCCUGUUCUCUUCUGCUUUUAGCUUUAAGAGAAAAUUUGCCAUUUGCUUGAGUUCCUCUACCGAAGCUAACGGCGCUGUCUUCUUUGGUGACGGCCCUUAUGUUAUGCUUCCUGGUGUUGAUGUUUCAAAGUCUCUCACUUACACCCCACUUAUCCUCAAUCCUGUGACUACAGCAACUCGUACUUUUACAGACCUUCCUUCAUCUGAUUACUUCAUUGAAGUAAAGUCUAUUAAAAUCAAUGGACACGUCAUCCCUAUGAACACAUCUUUGCUAUCAAUUGACAAAAAGGGUUUCGGUGGAACCAAAAUCAGCACUAUCCGUCCUUACACGGUGUUGGAAUCAUCAAUCUACGAAGCUUUUAUUGAAGCUUUCACCAAAGAGUUAGCGAAAGUCCCUAGAGUUAAACCAGUUUCACCAUUUGGGGCAUGCUUUAAUUCUACCCACAUUGGCAGAACUCGUGCUGGACCAGCUGUGCCUCAGAUUGAUCUAGUCUUGCAAAGUAGCAAAGCAGUUUGGAGUAUUUUUGGGGCAAACUCAAUGGUGCAAGUUAAAAGGGAUGUUCUUUGCCUAGGUUUUGUGGACGGUGGAGUACACCCUAGGACUUCAAUUGUGAUAGGUGGGCAUCAACUGGAAGAUAAUCUUCUGCAGUUUGAUCUAGGCACAGCAAGGCUAGGGUUCAGCUCUUCUCUCCUGUUCCGCCAAACAACUUGCUCCAAUUUCAAUUUUACGUUUAAUGCUUAGAGAAUCUUUAAUCUUCAUUUCAGUUGUUUGUUCUCAUUUCGUGUUUAGAUAAAUAAAUUUUCAUGUGGCCUUUCAUGAAUACCCCACUUUGAGUUUGGCCUUUUGGAGAUUAUAUUAAUGAUUUAAUGUCACUGGGCUUUUCAUGAACCCACUUGAAUAUUGCGUUUCGGAUGGAGAAAUUUUUUUUUUUUUUUUAGAAUAAAAGCUUAGCUUUCAUUAAAUCAACUUUGAAAAAGGUACAAAAGAUGUGUAUGACAUUCGAUGAACCCCAUUAUUGGUUCCACACUUUCUAAAGCUACUUUGGCAAUCGAAUGGGCCGUGCCAUUAUGAAGCCGAGAGGCGCGCUGCAGUGUGAGGUUCUGUAGUUCCUUUAGCUUUUCCUGGAUGUCCAAAAUGGUCCAACAGAUCUCAGUAUUACUGCUUUUUCUUCCUAAAGCCAGAUCCACAGCUUCUCAGCAAUCACAUUCAAUUAUCAAAGGCACACAAUUGGCAGCUUCUGCAGUUUCUAUUCCCAGCUUAAUUGCUUCUGUUUCUGCGGCAGUUGCAUCUCCGAAGUAUCUGACUUGCUUCUGAGCUACUGCUACAAAGUUUCCUUCCAAGCUUCUGAUCACCACUCCUAAGCCUGCCACUUGCUCUUUUAACUUUGUUGCUGCAUCCACAUUAACCUUGAACCACACCGUUGGAGGAGGUUUCCAGUUCUGGUUUUCUCUGCAAGUCUGCCUUGUAUAGGAGGGCAGUGAUGGGAAUUUAAUUUUCCUAUAUGAUUCCACUAUUGCUUCUGCUUUGGCCAGUGAUACUUGAGAUCUUCAUUCUUUCCCUCAAAGACAAAAAGAUUCCUUAAGUGCCAGGUAGCCCAACAUAAAGCUGUGAAGAGCUCCAUUUCUGCUUUGCUUUUCUUCUCUGCUACAGUUUGAAACACGCUCAACAGAUCUUUGUUAGCAAAAGCUUGGGUUUCUUCUGCAAAUGCUGUGAUCCUCCAAGUUUUCUGAAAUGCUUUACAAUUUAAGAGGGCAUGAGAAACAUUUUCACCUUGUUUGCCAUACCAUUGACACCACAGCUAUUGCACAAUUUUCCUUUUCCACAGGUUUUCUGCUGUUGAAAGCAGAUUUCGUACUGCCCUCCACAUGAAUAUUUGAACUUUCUCUGAUAAAUACAAUUUCCAGAUUCUAUGCCACUUGGAUGAACUUGUUUUUGAUGAGUCUGGACAGUCAUGGAAUUUUAGUCUCAGAGCAACUUGGUAGCCACUCUUUACUAAGUAAUUUCCAUGUUUGUCAUAAAGCCCAUAUAGAUUGGUCUGGUCUUGGAGUUCUUGGCAAUAUAAUCUUCAAGAUGCAAUCUGCAUCCUUAAGUAUGAAGUGUUGUCUGAUUAAUGCUUCAUUCCACUUGUGCUCUGCAUUAAUUAAGAGGGGAAUUGUAGCCUCCAGUGGCAGGGUUGGAGCUGACACUAUCUUGAAAGUUGAAGGUCUAGGAAUCCAGUUACAAUUAUAAAUCUUGACUUGCUCUCCACUCUCUAUUCUCCAUCUUAGACCUUGAUGCAGCACUUGUCUACUCCAAAGAAUACUCCUCCAAAUAAAAGAUGGUUUAUGCCCCAAUUUUGCAUUUAAAAAGUCUGUCUUCUUAAAGUACAAAGCCUUUAAGACUUUUGCCAUAAGGGAGUCUGGAAAUUGGAUCAACCUUCAUCCUUACUUAGCUACUAAAGUUUGAUUAAAGCUUAAUAGAUCUCUAAACCCCAUGCCCCCUUUUCUUUUGGAAGUACUCAUUUUCUCCCACUUGGCCCAAUGUAUGCUUCUAUGAUCUUCCUUUGAGUUCUACCAAAACCAAGCUAUUGCUCUUUGAAUAUCUGCACAAAAACUUAAUAGAAUUCUGAAAACACUCAUGGCAUAGGCAGGGAUUGCUUGGGUGAUUGCUUUGAUUAAAACUUCUUUCCCUCUGCUGGAGAAAAGCUUGCUUUCCCAAUUUGAUAUUGAUUAGUAUUAAAAAUUGUUUAAUUAUCAAGCGAUAAUAAUAUCAUUUUGUGCCUAUGUUAUAAUUUAUAUUUGUGUUUAUGCAAUAUAUUAGGAAUUAUUAAUAAUGUUUUAAAUAUAUCUAAUUUUGUGUAUUUUUGUAUGUUUAUUAUGUAAAAUAUUAAUUUCACAUAAUUCGAGUCUUCAAACAGAUAAAUAGAGGUUAAAUUUGGAUUCCGAAGGUCUGAAAACCUUAAGAUCAGUCAAGAUCGACUUAAAAUUAGGCUUGUGUAAAAAAAAGUUGACUUUUUCUGUUGAUCGAGCACUGAUUGGAUGAUGAAAUGAGCUUACAAUAGAUAUGAGUGCAUGAGAUAGUUGGCAAUUUUCACUAAAUAUCAACCGUUCAUGAUUCAAUAGUCAUAAUUGUGCCACGUGGCAAUGGUUGGUGAAGCAAGUUGUAGGAUCCAAAUCUUUGUAUUCGGGUCGAACUGAUCCACCCAUUAACCCGCCAAAUCUCAAUCGUUCUUUGGCCAAAUCAGACAAGUCAAAUGAUGCCACGUGUGAUGUUGACUUUUGAAGUUUGACCAGCCGUUGGAUCUUGAUCUAAUGGUUGUGAGGAGUACAUGCAUGAAGCUUAUGAUGGACCGCAAAACACUGGAUUACGAAUUUAUUUUUCUAUAAAUAGAGCCUCAUUUUUAUGUUUUUAAUCAUCUCUCUACAUCUUUCUUCUUCUCAAAUUCUCGGAUCUCUCCAUCUCCCUAUAAUCUUGAUUUCCAAGUAUGUUUUUAAUAUUUUGUAUAAUUAUUUUAUUAAUAAAUUUAUUUUUAUUUUUAUAUUUUAUAUUUUAAAAUUUUGAUUUAUUGUAAACAAACAAAUGAAUUUGGCACAAUAAAUACUUAAUCCAUCAUAAAAUUAAAGGAAAAAUAAUAAUAAUGUAUAUAAUUAAUCUUUUGGGCAAUAAUAAUGGCAAGCCCAAAUAUUUCUCAUGCCUAGACACAACACUGAGCUGGAAUUUGUUCUUUAUAUCCUCAAUCUGCCUUACUUGAGUGUUUCUACUAAAGAACAUUGACAAUUUUUCAUAAUUGAAAUUUGGCCCGAGACAGCUACAUAUUUGUCAAAAAUGAGCUUCAUAUUUAUGCAGUCUUCAGUUGUGGCCCUUGUAAAGAUAAGAUUGUCAUCUGCGAAGAGCAAGUGAGUGAUUGCCAAGUUGUUGCUGAAUUUCAGUCCCUGGAUCAGCUUCUGAGUUUCUGCUUGUUGUAGCAAGUUUGAAAAGCUUUAUGCACAAAGAAUAAAGCAAUAUAAGGAUAAGAGGCAGCCCUGCCUCAAUCCUCUUUGUGAAAGAAUCAUUCCUUUGGCUACUCCAUUUAUCAAUAUUGAGAAUGACGAAGGUGUAAUACAUCUUAUAGUCAAUUCAAUUCAUUUGGGUGAAAAUCUUAGUCUCUUUAUAGUAUUUUCCAAGAAGCACCAUUCAAUUCUAUCAUAUGCCUUACUUAUGUCGAGUUUUAAGGCUACUAACCUAUUUUUCCUCCCUCUGUUAAGCCUUAUCUUGUGCAAACAUUUAUAUCCUAUGACAACAUUAUCCGUUAUGAGUCUGUUUGGUAUGAAGGCACUUUGUGUUGCUGAGAUGAUGACAUGCAGCAUAUAUUUAAGCUAUUAGCUAUGGUUUUUGUGAUUAUUCUAUAUAUUACAUUACAUAAGCUAAUAGGCUUAAACUCUGUUACAUUUCUAGGCUUCUCAACCUUGGGCAUCAGUGCAGUGUAAGUAUGAUUGAGAGACGCUAUGUUACCACCUUCAUUGAGAAUAUAAAGACAAGUUGCCAGCACUCUUUUGCUUAUUGAUUUCCAAUGUUUUUUAAAAAAGGCUACUAGAAAUCCAUCUGGUCUGGGAGCUUGGUUGGGUACAUUUGGGAUAGAACUACUGAUAUCUCCUCGGCAGUCAAAGGUCUGUCCAGUUCCUCGUUCAUCUCCUCUUUGACCUUCCUAGGCAUAUUUUGCAAAACAACUUCCAAUUGGGCUUGUAAAGGGUUUGUUAUAGUGAAUAAAUUUGUAUAGUAGUUGCAAAACAUUCUUUUUACAUCUUCUUCUUCUUCUGUCCAAUUUCUAUUUUCAUCAAUUAUUCCCCAAAUUCUAUUUUUCCUCUUUCUCCAUGAAGUUUUAGCAUGGAAAAACUUCGUAUUUUUAUCUCUUACUCGUAGCUAAUCUGCUCUUAAUCUCUACUUCCAAUAGAUUUCUUCAUUUAGCAGAAAAGCAUCAAUCUUCUUUUCUAAGCUCUUGAUUCUUUUCUCUUCUUCAUAGUGUUGGUUCUGUUACUUUGCCCAUUUCAACUCAUUAAUCAUCUUCUUUAACUUCUGACUUCUGUCCCUUAACUCCUCUUUGUUCCACCACUGUAGGUGAGUCAUUGUUGCCUUUGUUGCUCUUUUGAAGCUUUCAACUGCAUCUUCACUAUACCAUCUUCUUUGCUCUACCCACUCUUGUUCCACAAUCUCUCUACAUUUAUCAUAGGAGCUCUAAAAAUCCUCAUAAUGCACUGAAGGAAAAGUUCUUCUAUUAUAUCUUAAGCCCCUCCCUUUUGCCAUCACUUCCAUCAAAAUGGGGUUAUGGUCCGAUGUCCAUGUCUCUACUGUUUCAGCUGCCGAUUCUAAGAACACGUUUCUUCAUUCUUGAUUACACAAAAAGCAAUCUAAUCUCUCCACAAUCAAAUGUGGCUCGUAUCUUUUAUUGCUCGUAUCUUUUAUUUGACCACAUUAAGGGACGCCCUUUACAACCUAAAUCCACCAGGCUACAAUUUCUAACAGCGUCCCUGAACAUCUGCAUCACGCUAGCUUCUCUAUUGUUCCCUCCUAUUUUUUCAUGACGCCAUAGUAUUUCAUUGAAAUCUCCAAAGCAUAGCCAAAACAAAGAGGAUAAAUUGGCUAACCUUUUUAAGAAUGCCCAUGUGUGGUGCUUCUGGCACGUCUCUAGGUGUCUAUAGACCUCUGUACAUCUCCAAUAACUUCUAUUUUUAGCACAAACUAUUGCAUCAAUAUGGUGCUUGCUCCAUGAUUUGACCUCCACAGUUAAUUCUAACUUCUACAUCAUUGUUAAACCUCAUUUUUUCCAUGUUCAAUUUUCAAAAUUUAGCUUCUGACAUUUCUCUUCCAUUUGCUUACACUACAAGAAAACUGCUAACAAAUGACAGACAACUUAUGACAGAUUCUGGGUAUAUCAUAAAACUAUGAUAGACUUGUGACAUAAUUUUCAAUUUAUCAUAAAUUAAUGAUGGUUUUGUGAUAGAAAUAUUUUCUAUCAUAAAUUUAUGAUGGCUUUAUGAUAUGAUUAUCAUUUAUCACGAACUUAUGAUAGAAUCGUGAUAGAAAUUUAAUCUAUCAAGAAAUUAUGAUAGAAAAAUUACUUUGACCAUAUUUGACCCAAAUUUUAUACAUUAUUUUAUUUAAAAAACAAAAGGUGUGUUUUAAUAAUUAAAAAAAAAUGCUAGCCAAACCGUACCGUUUUGGGUACUUUAAACUUUCUUUCUUCUUUUUUUGUCCUAAGUGUUAAAUGAAUACACACUUAGAAAAUAAAAUUCUACUUCUCUUAUCACACUCUCAUUUUCUUCAUUUUUUUUCUUUUCUUUCAUUUUCUCAAGAAACCUUAACGAAAUUUUCUCAGGAACCAAACAAUUUACAAAUCCUUCGAUUCUGAAGGAAAAUGCAAUACAAGAGGUUGAAGCAGCAUCAACAGUAGUAGCAAGCACUGGUGUAGCAAGCGCUUCUUCAAUAGCGGCCUCUUAGCCACUCCUCAGCUCUAAUUUCUCGUUUGCAUUUUGUUUCUCGUCGCUUAUGUGAAUCCAUUAUGCCUUGAUUUCGAUUGUGUUUUCAUAAUUUCAAGCUUUGAUUUGUUCGCGCUAUUUAGGGUUAGCUUGUGUGAUUUCGAUGUUCUUGUUUGUUUUGGUUUUUAAUUUUCAAGCUUUGCUAGAGUUAGGUUUUGAUUAUUCUUGUUUUGUAAAAAUUGUUCAAAUUUUUGGGUGUUUGUUCAAAUUUUCAAGCUUUGUUCAAUUUAUUUUACUUUCCAGAUGCGUAUUUUCGAUCUCUUCAGUCAGCUCGCUGCCGCUUCUUAAUUAUGUCGACAAUCCAUCACCAAAGGUUCACCUUUGCCGUAUAAAUCUAGGCUACAGCCUCUUGACUCCAUUGAUGAAUCCUUCACUAGAGCUUUAUCAGUGAAGCAUUUACCUAAGCAUCUGAAUAUUGUGUCAUUGAACGACACUUAUGAGGAUGAUAGCGUUGUGCACAUUGUGAUGAAGCUAUGUGAGGAAGGAGAGUUGGUUGAUAGGAUUGUCGCCAAAGGGCAUUACACUGAGCGAGUUGCUGCUGCAGUUAUGAAGACCAUUGUUGAAGUUGUUCAAGUUGGUUUCUGGUCUUUUAUGUGUUUUGUGUUUGGCAUUGCUGCGGAAUUUGAUGUUUAUGGCCUUAAAUUGAAUUGGCAGUGCAUGGCAUUCAAUUUAUUUUUACCAGUUUGUAGUUAAAUUGGUUAAGGUAUGAAAUUUAUAGGUAGUGACUCAGGCUUUAUACAAAUGUUAAAAUCAAAACUUGUUUGGAGUUGGGACGUUUUCCUUUUUCUCCCCAUAAGCUUCUACUUUUUUUUAUUCUUUCCUCAUAAAUGCUAUGUUUGAGUGUUUUUAUUUGGAGAGAUGGAUGAUAUUCUGUCUAAAAUUUUAAAUUUAAGUUCCCUUAUCAAAUGGACAUCGGGAAGGUUUCACUUAGUUUAUUCCAUUUUUUUUUCUCUCUUUCUUUAUCUGGUAUUAAGCUUGCCAAUAUAUUUUUUUUUUUUGCGCUGUUUAAUUGAUUCUUAUUUCAUUCAGUCUCAGAUGUUAGUGACUUAAAAUUUCUUAUGAUCUAUAUGGAUGCACAGGAAUUUGUUUGUUUAUUCUGAAAUCGGUUACUUCUUAGGGCUUAAAUGUUUUAUCUCUGUGCAUCUUACCAUGUACUGAGCCACUUAUGACAAUUCUUUCUCUCAUCGAUUCUUUGUACAUGUAUUUUUUGAUCAACUUGUAGACUCUGUUUCUCGUGUUAAUUCUAUGAUUUUCAGAAGUUAUGCUCUAUGUUUUUAGUGACCUCAUUCUUCUAACCUGCAUUUCCUUGUAUGAUUUUUCCACUGCAGGUGUGUCAUAAGCAUGGAGUCAUGCAUCGUGAUCUCAACCCAAAAAAAAUUCUAUUUGUUAAUAAGAAGAAAAGUUUUUCCUUAAAGGCAAUUGAUUUUGGGUUGUCGGUCUUCUUUAGGCCUAGUAAUGUGCUAUAUAAUUAGCAAUUGCAUGCCCCUGCCUGCUAUUUAUUCUUUUCACCUUCAUUCCUUUAUCUUAUACUGUUCUUACCUGAAGGUUUCUCUUUUCUACAGGGGAGCAAUUCAACGAGAUAGUUGGAAGUCUAUAUUACAUGGCGCUAGAGGUUUUAAAGCGUAAUUAUGGACCAGAAGUUGAUGUCUGGAGUAUGCUUUAACUCCGGAGAAUUUGGAAUUGGAUCAACAUCUGUGCCUCAAAUCGAUCUCGUUUUGCAGAGCAACGCAAGGUGUUGUGGAGCAUCCUUGGAGCAAAUUCGAUAGUCCAGGUUGGCAAUGAUGAUAAUGUGUCGUGUCUGGGGUUUGUUGACGGAGGGGCACCAAGGACUUCAAUUGUUAUCGGAGGGUAUCAAUUGGAAAACAACCUUCUGCAGUUUGAUUUAGCUUCUUCAAGACUUGGUUUCAGCAAUUCGCUGUUGCUCCGGCGAACAUUUUGUUCCAACUUCAAAUUCACGUCCAUUUGAUUCACUAGGAUGAAUUCGGCUAAGUUUAUCAAUAGUACAAUUUGAAUAAUGGACUCAUGGUCCGUGGUUAGUUUUCAUGAUUAAUUUUAACAGUUAACGUGCUAUAUGUGAACUGAGCUUUCUUUUUAUUUCUACGAGGCCACGUGCUAUAGUGAUAUAAAAUGAAGACUGAAGAGAAUGAUAAAAUCGACGUCCAGGCUUAUCAGCUAGAGAUCCAUUAUCAACUUGAAUAAUUUUGAUAAUUCCUAAAAGAGAAUGAUAAAAUCGACGUUCAGGCUUGUCAUCUAGAGAUCUGUGAUCAACCUGAAAUAUUUUUGUAAUUCCUUAAAAUAUUGUAUUAUUUUGAAAUGAAGGUAUGAAGUGUUGAUUGUUAUAAUAUUAGUUCGCAGAACAAUGUAUAGUUAUAAAAAUAAAUAAUCGAAGAUCUUAGACACAAAUUAACCCACAAGACACUGUAAUAAAAUAAAACAAAACAAAGAUGUGAACAGAACUAGCGUUUGGAUGGCUAGCUAUUGAGUUGGCUUUCAAGUCGUUCCUCAACAAGGCUCGAGCCGCCAUGGAUAAAUCCGAUCCUGCUCGCGAUCCGGACGACAUUGUUGACCAAAACAACGACGAUGGCGCCGAUGGCAAUGACAAAGACAAAGACAAACCAUCCGAUGCUUAAAUGGUCAAAUUUAUUAGAUUAUUAGUAUCCAAACGAUGUGCUUCCUAUUUGAAUUACUCUCUAUUCAGCUUUAGCAGUUGUGUUCCUACAUCCCAUUCCCGUACUGAAGCUAUAUACUCUCCAUUUUAAAUGUUAAUUUUCUUGUGAUUAUGAUUAAUCAGUCGUUUUUGAAAUUUUUUUUUUUUUUAAGUGAACAGAACUUUCCCCGUUCACGCAUGUGUUUUGUUAUUGGUUUUCCCACUAGCAUCUUGUUUUAAUUUAGACAACCCAAAUUUAUUACAACUUGUCAACUUGUAAUUUUGUAUGUUGAAAAUGUUCACUAUCAAUCAACUAAGAAAUUAACGUAUAGAAUGUGAUUCAUUUUUUAUUAUUGUUUAUUGUUAAAUUUUUUUUUUAAUUAAGGUCCUUGAAAUUGUUUUGGGUUCUCAAAGAUAGAAUUACACUAGAUUAACUUUUAAGAUUGGAUUGAAUUAGAUUAUACUAACUAAAUUAUAUAUUACUAUCCUUUAUUUGGUAUAAUGUCGGAUAAAUUAUUUAAUGAAACAAAAAAAAUAAAUAGUAUAAUUAUUUUCAAAUUAUAUUUCUAUUUUUUAAUAUUAUAUUUAUAUUCAAUAUUAUUGUAAAUGAUAAUUAUAUAAUUUUUUAUGUUUAAAUUAUUGAAUUAAAAUUUUGAUAUCUAAUCUUCAAUUAAAUUCGAGUUAAAAUAAAUUUUAUUCAAAAAAUAUUGAUAUAGGUAGUAAAUUUGAAUUAAAAUAUAUAUUUAAUCUAACCUAAACACAUGUGAAAGUGGAGAUCAAUAAUCUCAUGAAUUUAAGACUAAAAUUUGGACUAAUUUACUAGUCUUGACAACCAAGCAUAACCUUGGAUUAGAUUAAUUGUUUUAUCCUCCAAAUUACAGUCUAAAUGCUAUCUUCUAUUCUACAUCCAAACAUAGUCUUCAAGUCUUAGAAACAUAUGGGUAAAUUGUAAGAUAAAGCAUUUUAUCAUGGAUUUUCAUUGCUUCACAAUUUUUUUGGGAGAACAAUAAUGCUGCAGAUUGUCUUGCUAAUCUACAUCUUAAUCAUGAUGAGUUUUUUUUUUUUUUUUUUGGGGGGGGGGGANNNNNNNNNNNNNNNNNNNNNNNNNNNNNNNNNNNNNNNNNNNNNNNNNNNNNNNNNNNNNNNNNNNNNNNNNNNNNNNNNNNNNNNNNNNNNNNNNNNNNNNNNNNNNNNNNNNNNNNNNNNNNNNNNNNNNNNNNNNNNNNNNNNNNNNNNNNNNNNNNNNNNNNNNNNNNNNNNNNNNNNNNNNNNNNNNNNNNNNNNNNNNNNNNNNNNNNNNNNNNNNNNNNNNNNNNNNNNNNNNNNNNNNNNNNNNNNNNNNNNNNNNNNNNNNNNNNNNNNNNNNNNNNNNNNNNNNNNNNNNNNNNNNNNNNNNNNNNNNNNNNNNNNNNNNNNNNNNNNNNNNNNNNNNNNNNNNNNNNNNNNNNNNNNNNNNNNNNNNNNNNNNNNNNNNNNNNNNNNNNNNNNNNNNNNNNNNNNNNNNNNNNNNNNNNNNNNNNNNNNNNNNNNNNNNNNNNNNNNNNNNNNNNNNNNNNNNNNNNNNNNNNNNNNNNNNNNNNNNNNNNNNNNNNNUUUUUUUUUUUUUUUUUGGGGGGGGGGGAAUAAUCCUCACUUAGAGAUUCAACAAUUCUUGUCUUAAGAUGCUAAUCACUUUCUGAAAUAUUGUUUCUUUUUAUAUGCUUUUAUUUUGAAUUUCUUUUUUUCCUAUAGUUUUUCACGAUGUUGUUUUCAGUGCUAUGGCUUAUCUUAAGAUUGAGGCGCAUUAUGUCCCCCUAAAUGGAUGUGCCGAUUACUCUUUCUUAUUUAAUAAAAUCCCUCAUUAUGUCAAGGCUCAUCAAAAGAAAAUUAAGAAGCUAACACAGCCCCAAGUGUUCGCCAAGCGUUUUUUUUUUCAAUUACAUGAAACUAUAUUACAACUCAUAUUACAUGAUAUUACAACUGAUAUUUACAAAUCAGACUAUUAUUGAGAUUCUUUUACAUCAAUUAUUAUGAAGUGGUGUUCAAAUUUUUACCUUACGUCUACUUCACUCACAUUUCGAAAUGGAUAAAAUUACUUUCACUCAAAUUGAGAAAGAAAUUAAACCCCCACAAUGCAUUGUGAGGUUCGAAUUCAUGACCUCACAAUUGUGAGGUUUGGGUUCUAACCACUAGAUUAAAGCCUAACGGAUCGUUUGCCAAAUGAUUUUUAAGUAGCUUGAUUAAGUUUAUUUGAAUUUCCAAUGCCUAAUUAGGUGGUUUUCAAACACUUUAUUUUAGUUUACCAACCAAAUUUGAAUCCUCUCUACGUUUAAAAUCAUUUAAAAAAAAAUAAGAAUUUUAAAUUGAAAAAAUGCCUAUAAAUAUCUUGGCUGCUCGCUGCUUUACAGUCCACAGCACGUUAACCAAAUGGCUCUCUCUUCCAAAUUUCUUCUUUUUUGCUUUCUUCUCAUUUUCAUCUCUCGUUCCAUAGCCAAAACGUCUUUUAGACCAAAAGCACUAGUUCUUCCGGUUACCAAAGAUGGAUCAACUCUCCAAUACCUCACUCAAAUCAAACAAAGAACCCCUCUCGUGCCUGUGAAAUUGACCCUUGAUCUUGGUGGUCAGUUUCUAUGGGUUGUUUGUGAAAAAGAAUACGUAUCAUCUUCCUAUAGAUUUGCUCCUUGCCAUUCAGCUCCAUGCUCUCUCGCUAAUGCACCUUAUUGUUUUGAGUGCUUUGGUACUAAACCCAGGCCAGGGUGACACAAUAAUACUUGCAAUCUCCUGCCUGAAAACACUAUAAACGGCAUUAGCUUUAACGGUCCGGUGUCCAUGGAUGUCGCGUCUAUCCAAUCCACUGAUGGCAAGAAUCCGGGUAAAGUCGUUUCAGUGCCUAAGCUUCUCUU